CAGCCGCCACGGGAAUACAGAGGGUGCAAGCGUUAAUCGGAAUUACUGGGCGUAAAGCGCGCGUAGGUGGUUUGUUAAGUUGGAUGUGAAAUCCCCGGGCUCAACCUGGGAACUGCAUCCAAAACUGGCAAGCUAGAGUAUGGUAGAGGGUGGUGGAAUUUCCUGUGUAGCGGUGAAAUGCGUAGAUAUAGGAAGGAACACCAGUGGCGAAGGCGACCACCUGGACUGAUACUGACACUGAUGUGCGAAAGCGUGGGGAGCGAACAGGAUUAGAUACCCCUGUAGUCCCUGUCUCUUAUAC
rnacentral:rRNA from 1 species